UACGAAGGGUGCAAGCGUUACUCGGAAUUACUGGGCGUAAAGCGUGCGUAGGUGGUUGUUUAAGUCUGUUGUGAAAGCCCUGGGCUCAACCUGGGAAUUGCAGUGGAUACUGGGCGACUAGAGUGUGGUAGAGGGUAGUGGAAUUCCGGUGUAGCAGUGAAAUGCGUAGAGAUCGGGAGGAACAUCCAUGGCGAAGGCAGCUACCUGGACCAACACUGACACUGAGGCACGAAAGCGUGGGGAGCAAACAGG
rnacentral:rRNA from 1 species